GACGAACGCUGGCGGCGUGCUUAACACAUGCAAGUCGAACGGAAAGGCCCUUCGGGGUACUCGAGUGGCGAACGGGUGAGUAACACGUGGGUGAUCUGCCCUGCACUUUGGGAUGAGCCUGGGAAACUGGGUCUAAUACCGAAUAUGAUCAUCGGCUUCAUGGUCGGUGGUGGAAAGCUUUUGCGGUGUGGGAUGGGCCCGCGGCCUAUCAGCUUGUUGGUGGGGUAAUGGCCUACCAAGGCGACGACGGGUAGCCGGCCUGAGAGGGUGACCGGCCACACUGGGACUGAGAUACGGCCCAGACUCCUACGGGAGGCAGCAGUGGGGAAUAUUGCACAAUGGGCGCAAGCCUGAUGCAGCGACGCCGCGUGAGGGAUGACGGCCUUCGGGUUGUAAACCUCUUUCAGCACAGACGAAGCGCAAGUGACGGUAUGUGCAGAAGAAGGACCGGCCAACUACGUG
rnacentral:rRNA from 1 species